rnacentral:lncRNA from 1 species
UUAAAACCCUCUUUCUAUACUCAUAACCUGCAUUGCAAAUUUUAAAAUUUUCUUUAGGUAUAAUUUUAAUAAUAGAUAAGUUUUUUAUUUUUUUAUUUAUAUAAAUUUUUCUUAAAAUAAAAAAUAAGGUAUCUAAAUAUAUCAUAUUAUAUUUUAAUCUUUUUUAUAAUUGAUAAAUUAACUUCAGUUGUAAAUUGGUUUAUACAAUACAUGUUAUUCCUUGAUUCUUGCAACUUAUUGAUAAUCAUGAUAUGUUCUCUUUUUUUUUUUUUAUCAAUAAUUCAAAAUUCAUCCAUCAAAAAAAUUACUAAAUUUCUUUUUUCUAUAAAGAAACCAAUUGAUAACAAAUUUUCUUUAAAGAAGGUAAAAAUAAAAUAUUGAUUACCUUAUUUGAUUUUCCAUUUUCAAUUUUUAUGUUUAUUUUCCUUUAUUCAAAUGUAAUAUGAAGUUCACCACCUUUUGCUCUUAUUUUUUAAAAUAGACUUACAAGUUUGAAAUAGCUUAAUGCUAAAUUGUUGCUUGUUACAUAUUGAAAGGCUCUACUACAAAGAUUCUAAUUGAAAUUAUUUUUUUCUUUUUCUAAUGGUUUUAGUUAGAUUGAUAUUUACUUCUUGAAAAUCAUCCUCUUAUUUAAAGUUGGAUGAAUUGUUUGUUUCAAUAAUACAUGCCCUUGGCUUAUUAAUAUUUGAUAGUAGCUUUUUAAACCUGCAAUCUUUUGUUAUGUGUUUUGGCUUCCCACAAAUAUAAUGAUAAAUCAAGCAUAUAUUUCUAUUAGCAUGAAGUGUUUUUGUAAUAUCUCGACCCCUCAAGAAAAGACGUCUUCUUCUGUAAGAUGAGUAACUUCCUUUGCUUCUUGUAAUUCUAGUAUUAUACUUUGUUCUUGAAGCUUGAACUACUAAUGUUUUAUUUUUAGAAUUGGCAUUAGUAUUAGCUCUUAAUUAUAAUCUGUUUGUUUAGUUAUUAGUCUAAAUAAAAUCUUUUCAAAACUUAAAAAUUUAUCAAUGGAUGUUGAAUUAUAUGUCAAAGUAUCAAAAGAAAGAAGCAAUUUAUUUAAAAUUGUUUGUACAAGAGUCUUGGCUAGAAUUUUCUCACUAAAUACAACCAAUUGGUUUUUGAUUUUGCAAGUUGUCUUCAAAAAUUCUUCCAUGGAGGUAAAAUUUUAAAACUUCAAAGUUAAUAUAUAAUAGUUGAGAUUCAAUACCAGAGCAAGAUCUCUACUUUUGUACCUGACUUUCAAUGUUUUCUAUAUAUUUGUUAGAUUGUCUUAUUUUGUCACCAUGUCUAAUAGAUAGUCCUUCACAACAUAUAUAAGUUUUUUUUUUUUUUUUUUUUUUUUUUUUUGUCUUUGCCAUCAUAUUACAAAUUUGAGUUUCUCACAAUGUAUGCCCAUUGUAUAAACAUGGAUAUAUUGCUGGUAUAAAUUUCUCAAUAGUGAGCUCCUCUAGGUUUUUUGCUUACAAAAAGAUCUUCAUCCUCAACCUCCAAACAUAUGAAUUUUCUUCACCAAUCAAUUUCUUGGCCUUCUCAACCUACAAGAGAUUAUUGGAGCUCAACAUUAUCAAUGUCUUUAUUAUGCUCUCUUCGCAAAUAGAAUGCUCAUCAUGAUAUACUUAUUUUUAUUCCUUAACAAUGCAACUCUUCUAGAUUUUCUAAGCCUUGCUUUGAUAUUAUGUAGGAUUUUCAUAACCAAAAAUUUCUUUAUUUUCUUUAUAGAAUUCAAUUCAUACAAUUUAAACAUGAGUUGUUCAAAUAAUUUAACUCAAUCUUUUAUUCUAUAUUUUGUUCAAAUUAUACUUCUACUUCUGAUCAUGAUUGGUGUAUAUCCUGACCACAUUGAAAACUAGCAGGUAUGAAGUUUGUCCUUAUAUCACCAUAGUAUCAGCUUAAUAUCAACUUGGUAUCAACCUUGUAUCACCAUGGUAUCAGCCUUGUAUCAAGAAAGAAACCCUAGGUGCCCUUUUUUCCAAUAUUGCAUGCUUUAAAUGGUGAGGUAUGUUGUAUUAUUCUGUAAAAUUGUGUAAUUUUUACAUAGUGAAGUAAAGCUUAAUAUUGUUUAAAUCAAUGGAAAAAGAUUUGAUGCGUUUUUUUAUUUGAUUAUUAAGCAUGACCAAUACAUUGCACUUGAUGUAGAAAAGGAUUUGGUUGAGUAUAUAUUUAUUUAUAGACAUUAAAACCUCUUCUAAUUAUUAUUUUUGUAUUAGCAUCCAUCAUGAAAAUUUAGACAUUUUUAUAACUAAAAUUUGGAUUAUCAACUUCACAAUACUGAUUGCCAUUUUUUAAUAAUUUAAUGUCAUAAUAGACCAUAUGAUUUUUAACUUUUGAGUUUUUGUUCUGCAUAUUUGUCAGUAAAAAUAAGAAUCAAACUUUAAGUAUUUUUAAUUCAAUCAAUGGCAAUGUUGAGAUAUGUUUGAAUUUUGAUUAGAAAAAAAUUAAAGAUUUUAAUUAUUAAAAAUAUCAAUGUUAAUAUGUUAUUGAAAUUUUGAAUGUAGUUUUUGCAACUUGUAUUUUUAAAGUAAGUUUUAUAAAUUUUUUAGAAAAUAAUAGAUAGAGAUUUUGA